UGUUGGUCUGUGAGAGGAGUGCAGUCAAACCACUAGCGGUCGUUCACCUUUGUAAGAUUAAUGUAGGCCAAUGAUGCUGGCAGACUGCUGAUGCUACCUAGAUGACACGUUAAUUACCGCCAUUAAGAUCAACUGUGAUGAGGUGUAAAAAUUAAUGUUGGCCGAUUAUGCUGGCAGACCGCUGUCCCCUCUGUCACUCAUCUGUCAUUCAGCAUGUAAACCACGCCUCUUUGACCCUCAGCCAGUCCCGAACAAACUUGGGGGUUUCGACUAUAGUAUAUAUACCGACUUUACAGCUUUUCUAGUCCCUGUUGAUUUUCCAACGCAUAGCAAGGGAAAAAAAAAUGUCUAAUCCAAGUUUUCUCCAAAGUCUCAUCAAAAGGGUCAACGAGGCCAUAGCGAAAUACUGUAACGGGUGCAUCACCAAUCACCCAUCGCAGCACCAGUACCCGUGCAUAUCCAUGACGUUUGAGGAGGCGGUAGAUAUUCACUUGGAAACAAUUUUAGGGAAGAUGAACAGCAAAUUUUUGGCUGGGGAAGUCUUUCCCUUUAUAAGAGACCAGCUCCUCGAGGCUGAAAAGCAACACGUCGCCCAGUCAACAACCGUUAUCGUUUUAAGUGAGGCGGAAGAAGAAGAAAGCGACGAUGAUGUUUUUUUACUUGAUUCGCCGCAACCUUCUACGUCGUCGGCGGUGGUGGCACCACCACAACGAAAGAGGCGGCUAGAGCCAGAAGAGGAGGAGGAAAAAAAGACAAACAAAGUAAAAAGAAAGCUGUUUUUCCCCUCCUCCUCCUCCGAAGAGUUUGAUGGUCUCACUCAAGACCAACUAGAAAAGAUUUUCGACGAACCCUUCGACUUCUAGCCUCCUCCCUCUGCUACCCCUUUUUUAUUUAUUUUAUUUAUUUAUUAUUUUUUUUUAUUAUUUUGUUUUUUUUUUUGUUUGUUUGUUUUUUUUUGUUUUUUUUUUUUUGGCAGUCGAUUUAGCCUCACCUCCACGUGGUGACUGCUGGACAAAGGCUCACUUUGAAUUUUUUUUUUUUUGGGAGUGAGCUUUUGACGAAGAAGGCUAAAAUAAAAACAACCUCCAACCCAACACUAGUCCUCACAACUCUCUUGGUGUGAAUGGUACCACGCUGGCAGUAGCGGUCGUUCACCUCUUUAAGAUUAAUGUAGGUCAAUGAUGCUGACAGACUGCUGAUGCUACCCAGAUGACACGUUAAUUACCGCUGUAUGAUGUCCCCUCUGGCACUCAUCUGUCAUUCAGCUUUUUACCACGUCAAUCACAAAGCACAUAAAGCUGCCUUUGGCGAACCACCAAUCAGCUCGCCUUUAGCAUCCUAUUUAGUCACUUAGACUAUCUCGAUCCAUUCAUUCGAGAAGCAAAUCACUUUUAUUUAACACCUCUCUCACUCAGCAACCAUGGAAAACAUUUGCCGUAUAUGCGGUUUGAAAUUUACGGCGGUCAGGAACCUGAAUCGUCAUGUCAAAGCGAUACACGAAAAGUUGUGUGUAAAGACCGCCUCGCCGCCAUAGCUGGCCUCCCACUGGACGACAGACACGACAAGAGACGAGGCUGAUAAUCACGGAUAUCCCACUGGCUCAGGAUACUUGAUGCAGGAUACUCAGGAGGUCAGGUUAGUAAUCAAGACAAUCACGCUGGCUCAAACAUGGGUAAGUAAGACUAAAUAAAUCAUUCCACCUCACAAUCCUCACCCACCCACCCGACAUCUCUCGCUCACACACACACAAAAGGAACGCGCGCGUGUA